rnacentral:rRNA from 1 species
UAUACCCGCUGAACUUAAGCAUAUCAAUAAGCGGAGGAAAAGAAACCAACAGGGAUUGCCUUAGUAACGGCGAGUGAAGCGGCAAAAGCUCAAAUUUGAAAUCUGGCACCUUCGGUGUCCGAGUUGUAAUUUGAAGAAGGUAACUUUGGAGUUGGCUCUUGUCUAUGUUCCUUGGAACAGGACGUCACAGAGGGUGAGAAUCCCGUGCGAUGAGAUGCCCAAUUCUAUGUAAAGUGCUUUCGAAGAGUCGAGUUGUUUGGGAAUGCAGCUCUAAGUGGGUGGUAAAUUCCAUCUAAAGCUAAAUAUUGGCGAGAGACCGAUAGCGAACAAGUACAGUGAUGGAAAGAUGAAAAGAACUUUGAAAAGAGAGUGAAAAAGUACGUGAAAUUGUUGAAAGGGAAGGGCUUGAGAUCAGACUUGGUAUUUUGCGAUCCUUUCCUUCUUGGUUGGGUUCCUCGCAGCUUACUGGGCCAGCAUCGGUUUGGAUGGUAGGAUAAUGACUAAGGAAUGUGGCUCUACUUCGGUGGAGUGUUAUAGCCUUGGUUGAUACUGCACUGUCUAGACCGAGGACUGCGUCUUUUGAACCUAAGGGGAAUGGC